CGAUAGACUCCAUUUGUGAGGAAGAGCACAGAACACAGGAAGCCUUGGAGCUGAGGAGCAGCUCUGAUUUUGGGCACAGGCCCAGAGCUUUCUGGUUAACUUUGCACUGCUCUCUUCAUGUGGAUUCCUCUCCUGCUCUGUGUGCAGAACAGUCUUCAUCAGUCUCUCUCUGUUGAUUUGCAGGAGUCCUUAAGCAUGGCGGGGAAGCCCAAGCUUCACUACUUCAAUGGCCAAGGCAGAAUGGAGUCCAUCCGGUGGCUCUUGGCUGCAGCAGGGGUAGAGUUUGAAGAAGAACUUUUUGAAACACAUGAAGAAUUUGAGAAAUUAAUCCAAGGAUUGACAUGUAUGUAGAGGCCUUGAAGGAUCUGAGUGACAUGAUUAUGUUCUUUCCACUCUCUCUGCCUGGAGAGAAGGCGAUGAAUCUUGAAUACAUCCUGGAAAGAGCCACUACAAGAUUCUUCCCUGUCUGUGAGAAGGAGUUCAAGGCCAGAAUCAGCUGCAUUCCCACAAUUCACAAAUUUCUCCAGCCUGGAAGCCAAAGGAAGCCUCCACUAGAUGAAGGCUCCAUUGAGACCGUGAAGAACAUAUUCAAAUUUGAACGUGGCAUGUUUCUUAAAAACAUGGGUACUAUAGUAGCCGGGUAUUAACAAACGAAGAGGUCUAAAGGCCUCGGCACAUCUCACUUCACAUUUGUAGCAGUACCCACAAAGGUAUCAUAAGGUCACUUUCAUAAAGAUAAGCAAAAGGAAAUAAACUACUAAUACUGGCCUGUAAAUCAGAUCACACUUUUUCUGUUUUUUAUAAAACAGUAAAACACCAAUCCAUCAGAAUCAUCCAAAGAUUCUUCUGCAUUCUA